rnacentral:lncRNA from 10 species
GAUCCUCUCUGUUGUGAUUCAUCCCCCCGGGGCCCUACAGUUUCUCCUUCCUGACUCUUACAUUUCUUUGGAUGGCAUCAUUAUUAAGCCUGUGGCUGGCUGACAGCAGAGAGAGAUGCUCAACUUGGAGAAGGUGUUACCUGGGCCAGGUGGGGAAGGUUUGUUUGCAGAGCAAAGAAGUGAAGCCUAUUCAACGUGAAAAAGAUGAGGAUGAAGACCUUUAUUAUGAUCCACUUCCAAGUAAUGAACACACUGGAGAAAGUCAGACAGUCAAAACAAUGUCCCAGACUCCGUGAAGUUCCUGGGUAGAGAAGGAGACAGACAUAUACCAUACCUAAUAAUUGGAUGUCCGAGAGAAUGAGAGAAUGGCAGAAAGAACUUUAGAGCAUGGGUAUGAUGGCUAGAGCUUGAGCAGCCAUUGUGGACAUCAGAUGAACUUGAAAGUGAAAACUAUGAGCUGAAUACGACAAAGCAAACAGAUAGAAAACUGGAUUCAUUAUGACAUUGCAAAGCUGCCAGACCAGCUCUAGUCUGCUUCCCCCUAAUCUUCCUUACUAAGAGAGAGAAAUAAACUUCCAUCUUCUUCAAGCCA